AUGAACGCUGGCGGCGUGCCUAAUACAUGCAAGUCGAACGAAACUUCUUUAUCACCGAGUGCUUGCACUCACCGAUAAAGAGUUGAGUGGCGAACGGGUGAGUAACACGUGGGCAACCUGCCCAAAAGAGGGGGAUAACACUUGGAAACAGGUGCUAAUACCGCAUAACCAUAGUUACCGCAUGGUAACUAUGUAAAAGGUGGCUAUACUACCGCUUUUGGAUGGGCCCGCGGCGCAUUAGCUAGUUGGUAGGGUAAAGGCUUACCAAGGCAAUGAUGCGUAGCAGAAUGGAGGGGUUGAUCGGCCACAUUGGGACUGAGACACGCCCCAAACUCCUACGGGGGGCAGCAGGAGGGAAUCUUCCACAAUGGGCGAAAGCCGGAUGGAGCAACGCCGCGUGGGGGAAGAGGGUUUCCGGAUCUAAAAACCUUGUUUUGGGAGAAAAAGGUGGGGGAGAGUAAUUGUUCCCUUUUCGACGGUAUCUAACAAAAAAGCCACGGCUAACUACGCG
rnacentral:rRNA from 1 species